UCAAGGAGUAGUUUAGUUAGAAUUUCAGCUUUGGGUGCUGAGGGCAGGGUUUGUAUUCUCUCUCCUUG
rnacentral:tRNA from 1 species